AUGCCCUGAGGAACUAUGGGUUCUCUUUGAUUCGAAAGCUUGAGAAUCUCAGAAUCACAUUGUGGUGAAAAUUGUUUGGGAGUUUCUACACCACCUUGGGUCAUUUGGUUCCCAAUUAAAUGACACAAAACCAUACUAUUUAAAAUAGGCCUUAAAAGCACUAGAACUGGGCAGAUAUCAACCCUCUGUGCUAUUUUGUCUACUUCCCUGUCAAUGACCCUAAACUGUGUCUUGCCAUGUUCCACCAUGCUCCUGUUCCAACAGUCUGGAUCUCAUGGCUCUGUAUUCAUGAUCCACCUACCCCCAUGGUGUCUUUUCCUUCCUCUUCUCCUUUCCCUCCUGGUCUCUGCUUCAGACCUCAAACCCAAGAACCAAAGCCCAGCUAUGGGCCAUGGGCAUCUUUAUUCACCAAUAGUUUUACAUUAAGGAGCAAGGCUUGCACAACAGAAGCUGGCACACAAGAGAAUUCACUCAUUUUGAGAUGACUAGAUUUAUGCUUCAGAAUUUAGCACUAUAGUACCUAGCAACAGACAAAGCCCCAACAGAAUCCUGUGAGUGCCUGGUGCAGAAUCAAUGCAAAACAGUCUUUGCUGAACAGACACACAGGUGCAGCCAGAAAUGGCAAGAGGGGACUGUGAUAUUUGCUUAUCAAACUGUCGUGUGAGGAUGUUCUGGAGAAUGUGAAGCAUACAUACCGACAGGGACGGGACUCAGAAACAGAUCUACAGUUAAGUGAUGCAUUUCAGACACAUUCCGCACAGACAAGCCAAGAUUUAGAGACCAGAUAUGUCCAUUUUUACCAGACCUGGCUACCAUCCACCAACAACCCCAUAGAGCACUUGCAAACAAGCAAGUGUCGUUUUUCAAUGCCAAGUGUACGCCAGAAGUUACUGAAGAAGUAAUGGCUCUCCUCCUCAUCUGUGCUCACCAGCCUGUAAAAACCUCAGGGAGGGAACAAAGACCAUAAUAGCACUGACUGGAACAUUAAGAUGAAGAAAGACGUCUCAGCUAGACUCAGCAGCCCUGUGACUGGUACAGGCCCCACACAGCCAAGAGAGCAGCCUGAUCAGCAAUGGCUUCAUUCUGUCUUGAUCGGGAGACACAGGAAGGAAAUGCCAGCUCCUGGACAGAGAGCCCUGGAGAGGGCCAUGCUGAGCGGGAGUCAGAGCAGGGGAAGUUCCCUCCCAGCCUGCACUGAGCCCUGUUCUCUGUCCUCACUCAUCUCUGUCGCUUCUCAUCGCCUGUCCAUCCUCCCACCACAUCUGCCUAAGAAAUAUGUUUGUGGUCGCCACACCCCACGGUAAGGCAACACAUCUCUUUGCCUACAAGACCAUGAACUCCUGGAAGUCACCAUUUGAAUACAUCUCCCAGGAGUUCCUGGUUUAUUUUUUUUUUCUCAGCUUGAAGAUUAGCUCAGGUCUGUGGAAGAGCAUCUGGAUAAGAAAAAAAAAUUUUUUUUCACAAUAGAGGGUGGGACGCUGGUGGAAACUCCACUGGAGUGAGACCAUGGAGAAUCUCGCUCACAUCAUAUACCAUGGACAAAAUUCUCAUUAGCAAGAAAGUUCUGACCUUUUGCCUUCCCUAAUCUCCUGACACCAGGAGAGCAAAAGAACACACAUCUAUAAAAGGUUUGCUAGUCACUGGGUAAACUCUGAUUCUGAAAGAAUACAAGUGUGUCCACAGCACGCACCACUCUCUGAUCGGACUUGACCUUCUUCAUGUCACCAUUAAAAAACUUGAUGACGG